GAUUACCACGGUGUGAUUCAUGACUGGGGUGAAGUCGUAACAAGGUAGCCCUAGGGGAACCUGGGGCUGGAUCACCUCCUUA
rnacentral:rRNA from 1 species